AUUGUCAUGAGAAUUGACUUGCUGGGAGUCAAUGAGCUCCAUUUCUGAGACGUUUUCUUUUGCGUCUAAACUUCAAUUCCUUUUUUGAGGCAACUGCAAGAGGUGUUUUGAAUGUUGUAAGACCAC